UACGUAGGGUGCGAGCGUUAAUCGGAAUUACUGGGCGUAAAGCGUGCGCAGGCGGUUAUUUAAGUCAGGUGUGAAAGCCCUGGGCUUAACCUAGGAAUUGCGCUUGAGACUGGAUAGCUUGGAGUGCGGCAGAGGGAGGUGGAAUUCCGCGUGUAGCAGUGAAAUGCGUAGAGAUGUGGAGGAACACCGAUGGCGAAGGCAGCCUCCUGGGCCAGCACUGACGCUCAUGCACGAAAGCGUGGGGAGCAAACAGG
rnacentral:rRNA from 1 species